rnacentral:rRNA from 1 species
CUACGGAGGCAGCAGUGGGGAAUCUUGCACAAUGGAGGAAACUCUGAUGCAGCGACGCCGCGUGAGCGAUGAAGCCUUUCGUGGUGUAAAGCUCUUACGCCGGGGACGAUAGUGACGGUACCUGGAGAAGCAGCUGCGGCUAACUACGUGCCAGCAGCCGCGGUAAUACGUAGGCAGCAAGCGUUGUUCGGAAUUACUGGGCGUAAAGGGUGCGUAGGCGGUGUUCUAAGUUUGGUGUGAAAUCUCCCGGCUCAACUGGGAGGGUGCGCCGAAAACUGGAGUACUUGAGUGCGGGAGAGGAAAGCGGAAUUCCUGGUGUAGCGGUGAAAUGCGUAGAGAUCAGGAGGAACACCUGCGGUGUAGACGGCUUUCUGGACCGUAACUGACGCUGAGGCACGAAAGCGUGGGGAGCAAACAGGAUUAGAUACCCCAGUAGUCC